ACAAGGAUGCAAGUAAUGGUUGUAUCUCAGUUUUAUGCCUUUAUCCAUUGAGCGUACUAUGCAUUUAAGUUAUGUGUUUAUGUUAUCUGCCUAAGAACCUCUGCUGAAUUUUUUAUUAAAAAGAGCUUGGUAAAAUCGAAAUUGGAAAGAAACAAUCAUUAAUGCAUAUGCACAUUUUCUUGUAUCGGUGCUAUCAAGCUAAGAGGCACUCCCUUGCCUCAAUAGAAGCAGAACUAAUAGGUGUAGUUUUUGUCUUUUGAUAUCAAAUGACAGCACUAACAAUAUUUUAUUGUUAGUCAUAGGAGCUGGUAACACAUGAAUUUAGACUGGCCAUAACAUUUUCUCUUGCUGGCAUGGUGUUAUGGCUCAUAUGUUUAAAUUGAACGGCAUCAUUCUUUAUGUGGAUAUUCUGGUAUUGCAGCUUGAUUGAAAAAGGCAUGCUUAGCGAUCUUAAGAUGGCAAUGGCUGUAACGUACCAAAAGGUGCAAGCUUCGUCUGCACUGGGAAAGUAUAUUAAAGUUUCUACAAGAUUCAUUGACAGUGGAUGAAAUUGAAGAGGCUACUUGUUCCGCUUCGAUGCUCUCAUCAAGCCAGAGGAAUUUAUGCUCAUUUGUUUAUGUGAAAUUCAUUUAUCUUUGGGUGUCUUAGCCCUCACUGUCCAGUGGAACAGAUCCUGUUUGAAACUUCAUUAUGACAACAUUAACAUAGGAUGUGCCUAUCAAUGGUACUGUUCAUGCGCCGAUUGAACAGUUUAUGAGGCAGGUAAUGCAGUUUCUAGUUAAAUGGUGGAAGUUGGUGUGGAUUAAUUGCCAAGCCAUUUGAAUUAGGUUGAGUAUAUGAUUCUCAUUAAUAGUUAUCCUAUUAAUUUUGUCUCCUUUA